rnacentral:sRNA from 1 species
GUACACCACAUAAGCCAUAAAGGUAAUGAAGUAAACCAAAAUCGCAGCCACCGCGGAGCCCACAACCCCUAAAGUGGAAAAACGCACUAACAAGAAAACAAACAGGACGUUCAGUAAGUUCGAUAAAGGAGGCACAAUUGCAAUAAACAGUUGCCGGCCCUCUGAUUGGCCUAAGUAAAAAAACAAGCGGCUCAACAUCGGUAUGAUGUUAAAGCCAAUCAAAAUGUAAACGUACUCUGAACCAAUCGCAACCGCCUUUUCGUUAAAGAAGUGUUGAAACUGAUC